UACGGAGGGUGCAAGCGUUAUCCGGAUUCACUGGGUUUAAAGGGUGCGUAGGCGGAUAGGUAAGUCCGUGGUGAAAUCCUGCAGCUUAACUGCAGAACUGCCAUGGAUACUAUUUAUCUUGAAUGUCGUGGAGGUUAGCAGAAUAUGUCAUGUAGCGGUGAAAUGCUUAGAUAUGACAUAGAACACCAAAUUGCGAAGGCAGCUCACUACACAAUCAUUGACGCUGAGGCACGAAAGCGUGGGGAUCAAACAGG
rnacentral:rRNA from 1 species